GUCGAACGCUGGCGGCGUGCUUAACACAUGCAAGUCGAACGGAAAGGCCCUGCUUGCCGGGUACUCGAGUGGCGAACGGGUGAGUAACACGUGGGUGAUCUGCCCUGCACUUCGGGAUAAGCCUGGGAAACUGGGUCUAAUACCGGAUAGGAGCCAUUUUUAGUGUGAUGGUUGGAAAGUUUUUUCGGUGUAGGAUGAGCUCGCGGGCUAUCAGCUUGUUGGGGGGGUAAUGGGCCACCCAGGCGGCGGCGGGGGGGCGGCCUGAGAGGGUGGGCGGCCAAAUUGGGGAGGAGUAACGGCCCCAGCCCCCACGGGGGGGAGGCGGGGGGAAAAUUGCAAAAUGGGCGGAAGCCUGAUGCAGCGGCGCCGGGGGGGGGAUUACGGCCUUCGGGUUGUAAACCCCUUUCCCUAGGGAAGAAGCUUUUUGUGGCGGUACCUAAAUAAGAAGCCCCGGCUAAACACG
rnacentral:rRNA from 1 species